UUUUGGUAAGGUGGAAGCAGAAGUGUGUGUGAAGGAAGAAUGUAGGAUGAGUUGAGAGGGGUAGGAGACAGAUCAUCUAAAAGAGCCUCAGUGUUUUUCAGAACCUGAAUUCCUGCAGAACGGCUGCCACCAAUCGGUUUAAAGACCCCCACCAAGAAACUCACUCAGCACAGGAAUGUUGUUUCUUCAUCUCCCUGUCCCAUGACUUCACUCCUCACUUCUGGACCAAUCAACAAUCCCCACACUUUAGCCAUUUGCCCAUACAGAGCCCUUAAAAACCUCAUCCCCAAUCCUCUCAGGGAGGUGGAUUUGAGGUUUCCUCUUGUCUCCUCAUUUGGCUGCCCUACCAUUAUUAAACCCUUUCUCUGUUGCAACUCCUUCUGUUUUGGUGUAUUGAUCUAUUACUGCACAAUGGGAAAUCAAACCUGGUGUUCCUAUAAUAUAUAUGAUCCUCUGGCCCCCUCUUGCAAGCCUAUAGGGAAAUACUCUUAAAUUCAUGUACAGUGAAUGUACAUGCAGCAUGCAGUCCUCU
rnacentral:lncRNA from 1 species